GAUGAACGCUAGCUACAGGCUUAACACAUGCAAGUCGAGGGGCAGCAUGGUCUUAGCUUGCUAAGGCCGAUGGCGACCGGCGCACGGGUGAGUAACACGUAUCCAACCUGCCGUCUACUCUUGGACAGCCUUCUGAAAGGAAGAUUAAUACAAGAUGGCAUCAUGAGUCCGCAUGUUCACAUGAUUAAAGGUAUUCCGGUAGACGAUGGGGAUGCGUUCCAUUAGAUAGUAGGCGGGGUAACGGCCCACCUAGUCUUCGAUGGAUAGGGGUUCUGAGAGGAAGGUCCCCCACAUUGGAACUGAGACACGGUCCAAACUCCUACGGGAGGCAGCAGUGAGGAAUAUUGGUCAAUGGGCGAGAGCCUGAACCAGCCAAGUAGCGUGAAGGAUGACUG
rnacentral:rRNA from 1 species